GGCGGACGGGUGAGUAACACGUGGGUAACCUGCCUAAAAGAAGGGGAUAACACUUGGAAACAGGUGCUAAUACCGUAUAUCUCUAAGGAUCGCAUGAUCCUUAGAUGAAAGAUGGUUCUGCUAUCGCUUUUAGAUGGACCCGCGGCGUAUUAACUAGUUGGUGGGGUAACGGCCUACCAAGGUGAUGAUACGUAGCCGAACUGAGAGGUUGAUCGGCCACAUUGGGACUGAGACACGGCCCAAACUCCUACGGGAGGCAGCAGUAGGGAAUCUUCCACAAUGGACGCAAGUCUGAUGGAGCAACGCCGCGUGAGUGAAGAAGGUCUUCGGAUCGUAAAACUCUGUUGUUAGAGAAGAACACGAGUGAGAGUAACUGUUCAUUCGAUGACGGUAUCUAACCAGCAAGUCACGGCUAACUACGUGCCAGCAGCCGCGGUAAUACGUAGGUGGCAAGCGUUGUCCGGAUUUAUUGGGCGUAAAGGGAACGC
rnacentral:rRNA from 1 species